GACGUAGGGUGCGAGCGUUGUCCGGAUUUAUUGGGCGUAAAGAGCUCGUAGGCGGCUUGUUGCGUCAGCUGUGAAAACCCGCGGCUUAACCGUGGCCUGCAGCUGAUACGGGCAAGCUAGAGUUCGGUAGGGGAGACUGGAAUUCCUGGUGUAGCGGUGAAAUGCGCAGAUAUCAGGAGGAACACCGGUGGCGAAGGCGGGUCUCUGGGCCGAUACUGACGCUGAGGAGCGAAAGCGUGGGGAGCGAACAGG
rnacentral:rRNA from 1 species